GGACUACUGGGGUAUCUAAUCCCGUUCGCUACCCACGCUUUCGUGCUUGAGUGUCAGGAACGCGCCAGUACAUUGCCUUCGCUUUCGGUGUUCCCCAUGAUAUCAACGGAUUUCACCCCUACACCAUGAGUUCCAUGUACCUCUCACGCCCUCGAGUCGUACCGUUUCGCCCGCAUCUCCACGGUUGAGCCAUGGUUUUUAACGGACGACUAAUACGACCACCUACGCACUCUUUACGCCCAGUAAUUCCGGGUAACGCUUGGGGCCUCUGUAUUACCGCGGCUGCUGGCAC
rnacentral:rRNA from 1 species